AGCUUCUUUACAGUGCUGCCUUGUAGCAUUCGGGUCAAGCAGCAUUGUACAGGGCUAUGA
ensembl:miRNA microRNA 103a-2